rnacentral:rRNA from 1 species
UAAGGAAUAUUGCUCAAUGGGAGAAAUCCUGAAGCAGCAACGCCGCGUGGAGGAUGAAGGGUCUAUGACUUGUAAACUCCUGUAAAGAAGGAAAAAAUUCCCAUUUGAUGGGAGAUGAUGGUACUUCUGGAGUAAGCCCCGGCUAACUACGUGCCAGCAGCCGCGGUAAUACGUAGGGGGCAAGCGUUGUCCGGAUUUACUGGGUGUAAAGGGUGCUCAGGCGGAUUUGUAAGUCAGAGGUGAAAUCUUACAGCUUAACUGUGAAACUGCCUUUGAUACUGCAAGCCUGGAGUAUGGAAGAGAGUGAUGGAAUAUCUCGUGUAGCAGUGAAAUGCGUAGAUAUCAGAUAGAACACCAAUGGCGAAGGCAGUCACUUGGUCCAUUACUGACGCUAAAGCACGAAAGCGUGGGUAGCAAAC